rnacentral:tRNA from 1 species
GUUAGACCGUGGUGUAGUGGCUAUCACGUCCACCUAACACGUGGAAGGACCCCGGUUCGAAUCCGGGCGGUGACA